GGUUAGUACGUGUGUGUGUGUGCGUGUGUGUGUGUAUAUAUAUAUAUAUAUAUAUAUAUAAAAGCUAGGCUGUUAUAUUAUCGGUAGCACGGACGUCUUCGUGCUACCAAGUUGUUUUCAAUGAUGCUGCUUCCAAAUCGACGAUCGGUUCCAUUAGACUUGAUUUACACUAUUGAAAAUAUUUUAAAACUAAAUUUCAUAAUUUUUCGGUAUCAUUUACCUAUCAAACGAGUAGUCUCAAAAUAAACGGCUGAAAAUAAAAAUCUCAUAAAAAAUAAUGAUAGAAAUCUUGAAUUUAAGAUAAGAGCUAUUGAUCUUACUCUAAAUAGUAAAAAAAAAUUUCAUCUGAUUUUAAUUAUUUUACACCGUUAAAUUUAUAAAUACAUCAUAUUUAUCAAUUAAAAUUGUCAAUUUUGAGACCUUUUGAUCACUAGCCAAAUGGCCCAAAUGAUGUCGAAAAAUUCUGAAAUUUAGUUUCCAAAUAAUUUCAAUAGUGUAGUUCAAGUCUAACGGAGCCGAUCGUCGAUUUGGAAGCCGCAUCAUCGAAAACAACUUGGUAGCACGGAAGCCUCCGUGCUACUGAUAGUAUAACAGCCAGACUCUCUCUCUCUCUCUCUCUCUCUCUCUAU
rnacentral:lncRNA from 1 species